CAAGAAAGUAGCUUACACUUAAAGCAUUUAACUUACAAUUAAAAAACGCCCACCAACUGGGCCUUCUUGA
rnacentral:tRNA from 1 species